AGAAAAGAACUGAUGGGAAAACCCAAGGACAACUGGAGACUGGGUGGGGAAUGGCAGGAAACAGGGAAGCAUGGGGUAGAGAAAAGACUGGGACCAGGACAGUCUCUACUCUUCUUCUGGUUGAAGUAUUUAAACUGCAUGAUGUGAAGUUAACCUCAAAGGAGACGAGGAGGUUAACCGCUGAGGACAUUCCCUCCCACAUAAGAUCUGAGGAAAAGAUGAGACCAAAGAGGACCCAAGGAAACACAUUUUUGAGACAUGAGACGUCCUCCUUCGUCCAGUCCGUAGGCUGAGGUGUCCAAUUACCAACUGAUUUCUGACUGGGGAGGGGGGGCUAAAAAAGCUGGUCUCAUGUGUUCUUGCACAUGUCUCCUCCAACAGCCUCAUCGCUCCUCAGAGCAGAUGUAAGAGUCUUCGGACAUUCGUCAAGAUGACAGGUCAGGUGAUCGUGAUCAAGGAGUGAGGAAUGAUCAUUGAAGGGAAUUGGGAUUUACCCACUGUUGGUGAUGUAUAAAGGACUUUGAGAUGAGAAACAGCUGUUCAUUUGAAAUUGGUGUUGCAACUGUUGUAUUUUAAAACAAACCACAAUUUUUCCCUAAAACUAACCAAGUAGUUUUUGUGCAUAAACUUGGCAUCCUUUGCAUGUAUUCUUGUAACAACGACAACUAAGGUCUGGUGCAUGAAAAUGACCUACUGAGCCACCUAGGAGGUGGAGUAGUAGUUUAAUAAUGUGUAUAAUGUGUUGACAAUAAUGUGUUGUGUAUAAACAUCACUUCAUGUUUGAUGGUCAGACUCUUCUUCUUCCUUCUGGUGAAAAUAUGCCACUUUCUUUCUUUUUCUCCUCCUCAGUUCUGGGUCAUCUCGCUCUCAGCUGCCAACAGACUGUCAUACAAAAUGCAUUUCAAAGUUUCUGCCUGAAUAAUGCAUGAUGGGAGUUGUAGUGAGAGCAGAGGAGUACAGUUGAAGCUUUGCAUCUAAACCAUGUCCAUUCAUAAAAACUGUUCCUUCUCUUCUCCUUUCAUCAUCACUUCAUUUCUCCAACAUUGACUCUUUCUCUCAUUGGCUGUUACAGUAUCAGUCUAGACAGAACCCUACAGUCAGUCAGCAGGUUGUAAAGAAGCUAUGCACCAAAUCUUCUUCUCUAUGGAAACCCAUUACUAUGAGGAAAAGAAAAAGAGCCAAAAUGCAGUCAAAAUGAGGAGAAACUAAGUUAAAAUGCUUUCCUGACGUUGACACACUAUUUGUCGUCUCUGAAUUCAACAUGAUGAUCAGCCUGGUUCAUGUUAAAUGAUUAUCAAAGCUGUUGCGCCAGUGAAAUUAUCAACUCUGGCUGCUCUGGCUACUGUGCUGUGAGUUUGAUGAGCUUGGCCCAACAACACUUACAUCAUUCGAAUGCAAAGUUCUGAAAGAAGGAAAAACCAUGCCAUAAAAAUAUUGUCAAUUCUCAAAUAAAAUCCCAAAAAGCAAAUGAAAGGGUUUAGGGACAACUGAGUUUCUCUUCUGUAGCUGUACUGAUGAAUGGGUGCUAUGGAAAUGGGCAGGCAUGGAAGGAGUGUUGGUAUGCAUCAACACGAAAUGAAAACAGGUUAUUUCCAUCCCUAUGCUGUCCCUCAAAUGUAAUUUUUCAUUUCCUUGCAUUAAAUUUUAUGUUGCCUUGGCAUAAAUUUGAUGUUUCUCAAGAUAAAUAUUACAAUACCUCGUAUUCAAUUCUGUAUUUCCUCACAAUAUAUUUUGCUUUAUUUCACUAUGUUUUCCCUCCCUAACAGACAGAAAUCCAGUGUGAAAUGGGCUCUAAAGAGUGGGGACAGUAUGUAUACAUGGACCAGCUCAGAACUAACAUCUUGAUUUGCUGAAUUUGUCUCACCAGCAGCUCAUCUUAAAACUCACUUUUACAGAAAAAACAUAUGAAACUGCUGUUGUUAUACAUUUUUCUUUCAC